rnacentral:rRNA from 1 species
UAGUUUGAUUCUGGCUCAGGAUGAACGCUGGCGGCAUGCCUAAUACAUGCAAGUCGAACGGAGUGAAGCCUUCGGGUUUCAUUCAGUGGCGAACGGGUGAGUAAUACGCAGGGAACCUGGCCAUGGCAGGGGGAUACACUCUGGAAACGGAGCAUAAGACCCCAUAGGCAGUAAGGCGGCAUCGCCUUACUGUUAAAGAAAGCUGAAAGGCUUUGGCGAUGGAUGGACCUGCGGUGCAUUAGCUUGUUGGUGAGGCAACGGCUUACCAAGGCGAUGAUGCAUAGCCGGCCUGAGAGGGCGGACGGCCACACUGGGACUGAGACACGGCCCAGACUCCUGCGGGAGGCAGCAGUAGGGAAUUUUCGUCAAUGGGCGCAAGCCUGAACGAGCAAUGCCGCGUGAGUGAGGAAGGUCUUCGGACUGUAAAGCUCUGUUGCCGGGGAAAAAGGGGAAAUGCAGGAAAUGGCAUUUCAUGGAUGGUACCCGGCCAGAAAGCCACGGCUAACUACGUGCCAGCAGCCGCGGUAAUACGUAGGUGGCGAGCGUUAUCCGGAAUGAUUGGGCGUAAAGGGUGCGCAGGCGGUCUGUUAAGUCUGAAGGCAAAGGGAUGAGCUCAACUCAUUUAUGAUUCAGAAACUGGCAGACUUGAGGACAGGAGAGGGCGGUGGAACUCCAUGUGUAGCGGUAAAAUGCGCAGAGAUAUGGAAGAACACCAGUGGCGAAGGCGGCCGCCUGGCCUGUGACUGACGCUGAGGCACGAAAGCGUGGGGAGCAAAUAGGAUUAGAUACCCUAGUAGUCCACGCCGUAAACGAUGAGGAGCAGGUGUUGGGAGUGAAAUCUCAGUGCCGAAGCCAACGCAGUGACUCCUCCGCCUGGGGAGUAUGCACGCAAGUGUGAAACUCAAAGGAAUUGACGGGGGCCCGCACAAGCGGUGGAGUAUGUGGUUUAAUUCGAAGCAACGCGAAGAACCUUACCAGGUUUUGACAUCGGAUGCGAAGGUGCAGAGAUGCGCUGGAGGUUAACAUCCAGACAGGUGGUGCAUGGUUGUCGUCAGCUCGUGUCGUGAGAUGUUCAGUUAAGUCUGGCAACGAGCGCAACCCCCGUGGUAUGUUACUAACGCUUAGGGCGAGGACUCAUAUCAGACUGCCGGUGACAAACCGGAGGAAGGCGGGGAUGACGUCAAAUCAUCAUGCCCCUUAUGACCUGGGCUACACACGUACUACAAUGGCGUCUACAGAGGGAAGCGACCCUGAGAAGGGAAGCGAAACCGGAAAAGGGCGUCCCAGUUCGGAUUGAAGUCUGCAACCCGACUUCAUGAAGAUGGAAUCGCUAGUAAUCGCGGAUCAGCAUGCCGCGGUGAAUACGUUCCCGGGCCUUGUACACACCGCCCGUCAAACCAUGGAAGCCGGCAACGCCCGAAGCCGGUGGCAUAACCUUUUAGGAGUGAGCCGUCGAAGGCGGGGCCGAUGACUGGGGUUAAGUCGUAACAAGGUACCC